UACGUAGGGUGCGAGCGUUAAUCGGAAUUACUGGGCGUAAAGCGUGCGCAGGCGGUUCGCUGUGUCCGAUGUGAAAGCCCCGGGCUCAACCUGGGAAUGGCAUGGGAAACUGGCGGGCUGGAGUGUGGCAGAGGGGGGUGGAAUUCCGCGUGUAGCAGUGAAAUGCGUAGAGAUCUGGAGGAACACCGAUGGCGAAGGCAGCCCCCUGGGUUAACACUGACGCUCAUGCACGAAAGCGUGGGGAGCAAACAGG
rnacentral:rRNA from 1 species